rnacentral:rRNA from 1 species
AGUGAACGCUGGCGGUAGGCCUAACACAUGCAAGUCGAACGGCAGCACAGUAAGAGCUUGCUCUUACGGGUGGCGAGUGGCGGACGGGUGAGGAAUACAUCGGAAUCUACUUUUUCGUGGGGGAUAACGUAGGGAAACUUACGCUAAUACCGCAUACGACCUACGGGUGAAAGCAGGGGAUCUUCGGACCUUGCGCGAUUGAAUGAGCCGAUGUCGGAUUAGCUAGUUGGCGGGGUAAGGGCCCACCAAGGCGACGAUCCGUAGCUGGCCUGAGAGGAUGAUCAGCCACACUGGAACUGAGACACGGUCCAGACUCCUACGGGAGGCGGCAGUGGGGAAUCUUGGACAAUGGUCGCAAGCCUGAUCCAGCCAUACCGCGUGGGUGAAGAAGGCCUUCGGGUUGUAAAGCCCUUUUGUUGGGAAAGAAAAGCAGCAUGUUAAUACCCCGAUGUUCUGACGGUACCCAAAGAAUAAGCACCGGCUAACUUCGUG